UAAACACACGUUUAAUAGGCGUUCCCUCUCGGGAGCAGGCAGAGGGCUGAGCAUGUGCAUUAUUUCAAAAAGUACAGAGGGCGGUUCUUUUCUAAAAUUCGGGAAAAUCCUCCACUAUACCUUUAAAUAAAUCCAGGUGUGUUUAGGUGGUACUGCGUCUGGUCUGGGGGGUACUGCAUCUGGUCUGGGAGAUCCAGGUGUAUUUAGGGGGUACUGCGUCUGGUCUGGGGGGUACUGCAUCUGGUCUGGGAGAUCCAGGUGUGUUUAGGUGGUACUGCGUCUGGUCUGGGGGGUACUGCAUCUGGUCUGGGAGAUCCAGGUGUAUUUAGGUGGUACUGCGUCUGGUCUGGGGGGUACUGCAUCUGGUCUGGGAGAUCCAGGUGUGUUUAGGUGGUACUGCGUCUGGUCUGGG